rnacentral:rRNA from 1 species
GACGAACGCUGGCGGCGUGCCUAAUACAUGCAAGUCGAGCGGACGGAAGGAGAGCUUGCUCUCCUGACGUUAGCGGCGGACGGGUGAGUAACACGUGGGCAACCUGCCUGUAAGACUGGGAUAACUUCGGGAAACCGGAGCUAAUACCGGAUAAACCCUUUUCUCGCAUGAGGGGGGCUGAAAGAGGGCUUUUCGCUCUCACUUACAGAUGGGCCCGCGGCGCAUUAGCUAGUUGGUGAGGUAACGGCUCACCAAGGCGACGAUGCGUAGCCGACCUGAGAGGGUGAUCGGCCACACUGGGACUGAGACACGGCCCAG